CUUGUGUAUUUAGUCCGCGUCUGAGUUAGUUUCCCCAGGUCUGUCAUUGACGUCGUUUGCUGUGAAGCUCCCCUGUCUGCUUUGGUUCCUUUAAUAAAUCCUUUUUGACCGUGUUCACGGCUCACUUGCCUGCUUCCCGGAUCGCCCGGACACGCAACCUGACAGGUGUCACUAAUUACCAA